UACGUAGGGGGCAAGCGUUGUCCGGAAUCAUUGGGCGUAAAGAGCGUGUAGGCGGCCCGGUAAGUCCGCUGUGAAAGUCCAGGGCUCAACCCUGGAAUGCCGGUGGAAACUGUCGGGCUAGAGUCCGGAAGAGGCGAGUGGAAUUCCUGGUGUAGCGGUGAAAUGCGCAGAUAUCAGGAGGAACACCAAUGGCGAAGGCAGCUCGCUGGGACGGUACUGACGCUGAGGCGCGACAGCGUGGGGAGCAAACAGG
rnacentral:rRNA from 1 species